rnacentral:rRNA from 1 species
CAGUAGCCGCGGGAAUACGUAGGUGGCAAGCGUUGUCCGGAAUUAUUGGGCGUAAAGGGCUCGCAGGCGGUUUCUUAAGUCUGAUGUGAAAGCCCCCGGCUCAACCGGGGAGGGUCAUUGGAAACUGGGAAACUUGAGUGCAGAAGAGGAGAGUGGAAUUCCACGUGUAGCGGUGAAAUGCGUAGGGAUGUGGAGGAACACCAGUGGCGAAGGCGACUCUCUGGUCUGUAACUGACGCUGAGGAGCGAAAGCGUGGGGAGCAAACAGGAUUAGAUACCCCGGUAGUCCCUGUCUCUUAUAC